rnacentral:rRNA from 1 species
CAAACGGAGAGUUUGAUCCUGGCUCAGGACGAACGCUGGCGGCGUGCUUAACACAUGCAAGUCGAACGGGAGUAUUGAAGAAGCUUGCUUUAGAGAUACUUUAGUGGCGGACGGGUGAGU